rnacentral:rRNA from 1 species
GACGAACGCUGGCGGCGUGCUUAACACAUGCAAGUCGAACGGAAAGGCCCUGCUUGCAGGGUACUCGAGUGGCGAACGGGUGAGUAACACGUGGGUGAUCUGCCCUUCACUUCGGGAUAAGCCUGGGAAACUGGGUCUAAUACCGGAUAGGAGCCAUUUUUAGUGGGAGGGUUGGAAAGUUUUUUCGGUGUAGGAUGAGCGCGCGGCCUAUUAGCUUGUUGGUGGGGUAAUGGCCUACCAAGGCGGCGACGGGUAGACGGCCUGAGAGGGUGGACGGCCACAUUGGGACUGAGACACGGCCCAGACUCCUACGGGGGGCAGCAGUGGGGAAUAUUGCACAAUGGGCGGAAGCCUGAUGCAGCGAAGCCGCGUGGGGGAUGACGGACUUCGGGUUGAAAACUCCUUUCGCUAGGGACGAAGCUUUUUGUGACGGUACCUAGAUAAGAAGCACCGGCUAACUACGUG